rnacentral:rRNA from 1 species
GAUCAUGGCUCAGGAUGAACGCUAGCGACAGGCUUAACACAUGCAAGUCGAGGGGCAGCACAGGUAGCAAUACCGGGUGGCGACCGGCGCACGGGUCAGUAACGCGUAUGCAACUUACCUAUCAGAGGGGGAUAGCCCGGCGAAAGUCGGAUUAAUACCCCAUGAAACAGGGGUCCCGCAUGGGAAUAUUUGUUAAAGAUUCAUCGCUGAUAGAUAGGCAUGCGUUCCAUUAGGCAG